rnacentral:lncRNA from 1 species
CAGACAAGAUCCUACCAUCUAUACAUAAGCCUACUAUGAUUAACACUAAUCUGACCCAGAUAUGGUCACACACUAAAACACAUUCAAUAUUAAUUCAAGUACCAUGAACGAAUUAAUCGUAUGAAUAUCCCUUACACAUUAGUCAUCUUGUCAACACUGGAUUGCAGUAUUUGGUUGACAGUGUCGUAGCUGCCUAUUUGCUCUCAUCUGACCUUCUGACAUGGAAUAUGAGUAAAAUCCAAGAAUUUUGUAUUUUAUAGACUUUAACCAUGCGCAUGCACAUCCAUCUAUUUUGUUGUUGAAUCCAGUGAUUUUUUUCAGGCAUCAACAAUGCAGCAAUGCCUCACUGGCAUCAUGAUUAUUGAACGGCCCAACACUACAGAAAUUCAGCCAACCAUUGACUUCGCUAGACAACAACCCACAUUCACGGCUUCAGUGCGCUGCUUCAGCUUUGUGAAACAAAGGGAUAAUUGCAACGAACGGAAAUGCAAUCAUAAUCCAUUAAGAUAAUUGAAGAGCCAGUGUCCUUCUGGAUCCAAGGACUGGCCAGGAAACAGAGGGAUUCACAUGGAAGAGUUGACAGUUGACACACUCGUUGACGCCUCUUGUCCAGGCAGGUAGGCAACUCAACCAUGGCAACAAGAGGCCAAGCUUGUCUUACCAAAAUUUAGAGACAUCAACCACGCUUUCCUCCCCUUUAGGACGUCGAGCCAUCAACUAUGCACGGAGGCAGUUCUCUCUUGUGAAACUGCCUGCAGAUCACUCAGAGUAAAUGAAACAGUUAUGAAUUAACCAUUUCUGCAGAGAUGGACUAUACAAGAUUACCUCUUGUGGUCACCGCCAGUUGCUCUGAAGGCUGUCCAUGCAUGGUCCUAGGCGCACAUGAGAAACAGAAGAAGUACCACCGCACUUAGUUGAGGAGCACCCAGCACUGUAGUACUCUUGGGUGGUUGGGGCAUAUGUGAUGCUUCUGGGUUCCAGCAUAUGUGAUGUGAGUACUAUUAUUUAUGGGACCAGAAGAUAGCAACUGCAUUCAGAAAUCUAGCAUGUCAACUGAAGAACUGGGCACAUGGAGGAUUUAUAAGUUUGUUCCGGAAAAAUUCUAGACUUUAAAGAUCAAAGCACGUUGCAAACAAACUCGUUUAACUUUACCAAAAUAAGAUAUGCUCAAUAGCUGCAGCAUAAGGGACUCAAUUCUAUCGAAGUUGCUACAAUUUUUUGAGGGAAGCAUGUUAAAUAUAUCAAAACUGCAAACACGAGUCCUGAGAGACGA